UCUAUUGGUAAAUAUUUCCCUCCCUGCAAAAAGCUGCUUAGAUUCCAUGACAUCCUUGUUGGGAAUGUCAUAAAGUCCAACAGCACCGAAACAGGCCCUUCAGCCAAGUUGUCCAUGCCGUCCAAGAUGUCCAUCCACUCUGCCUGAAUUUGCCCCGCACCCCUCUACAUAUUACAUAUUCAUCUACCAAUAUGGGGAGAAUAAGAGAAUUCAUUAUGAGACGCUGUUCUUUUGCAACUACCAUCAGCUGCUUUUAAUGAGUAAACUAAGUAUAGUCUUCAAUUGUUAUAUGUACCAAUAACACAACAAUGAAGUUGUCACUUGCAGCAACUUAACAGGCCCACAAAUACAAUAACACACUGAUAAAUAUAUAAUAAUCAAUAAUUAAUUAGUAACGGAAAUACUAGGUAGCCAUAAAUAGUGAAAAACAGAUGCCUUAUUGCAACCAUAGGCACAGGCCAUAGACGAUCAUGCGUAGGAAGGAAAUGUAGAUGCUGGUUUACGAAGAUAGACUCAAAAUGCUGGAGUAACUCAGUGGGUCAGGCAGCAUCUCUGGAGAAAAGAAAUAGGUGACGUUUCGGGAAAAUAAGAAGGGUCUCGUGCUCAGUCUCAAGAUGGGUCUCGACCCAAAACGUCACGUAUUCCUUUUCUCCAGAGAUGCUGCUCGACCCGCUGAGUUACUCCAACAUUUUAUGUCUAUCCAUAGAUGAUUAUAGUUGCUGUGGUAAGCGUUGUACAAUGUUCAAGAAGCCGAUGGGUUGCUGUUCUUGAAUCUGGUGGUUAGGGUUUUCAGGCCUCUGUACUUACUUCCUGAUGAUAGUAGUGAAAUGAAAACAUGGUCAGGGUGAUGUGGGUCUUUGAUGAUAUUGGCUGCUUUUUUGACACAGUGCCUCCAAUGGAUUCCUUUGAUGGUAGGGAGGUCAGUAUUUGUGAUGGACUGGGCAGCAUCCACCACUCUCCUUAAUCUCCUUCGUACCUUGAGUUGCCGAACCUUAUCCCAACUCUUUCACCUCUCCAAAAUAGAGCCUUCUAGCACCAUUUAUCUUCCAUCUUUUGCCUACCCAGAUUUAAUGAAUUCAAUGUAGUGCUUUCAGUCUCCAUCUUAAUUCACUUUGCCAUCAUUCCUCUGAGUUUGAUAAGGCAUAUUUACAACAACUUUACUAAAUUCACUGUCUAAAAUUGUAAAUUAGAGUUUUUAGGAAAGGGGAAAAUAAAGUUUGAUUUGAUAACGAUAUAGAUUAAUUGUGAUGUAUUCGCACAUUCAAACAUGCUUGCUUCAUAGAAGUCUUAUCAAAUAUAAUUUGGCAUUGAGGUCCAUUCCAGAGCUUGGGGCCCAGGCACCUGAAGCCCAUUAGAUUUUACAGGCUUCGAAGGAGGAAAAAUUAGUUAUGCAGCAGCACCUACUGGAAAGUACUCGCAUGUGGAUGUACUUGAGAUUUUAAGAAAAGAUACAAUGAAAUGUAAAUGUCGGACAUUCUGAUGGAAUCAUUCCUGCAGUGUGCCCACAUACUGUGCCAACAUAAUUGCAUUUCAAUCGUGACUGUUCAGUUGGCAAAAUAUUGAGGACCACUUGCCAGUGUUAAAAGUGGAAAAUUCCAAAUGCUGAAAACAAAAUUAAUGACAGAAAGUGUGACAAAUUUAGCAUUUUGAUUAUUUUAAAAGAGGUUACCAAUCAUACAAGCAUUAAGAUU